UAUGUUUUAGUAUAAGAUGUACGGAAAUUUUUGAUAUUUUCAGAAGUAGUUUAAUUCUGCUAAACAUAA
rnacentral:tRNA from 1 species